UACGGAGGGUCCAAGCGUUAUCCGGAAUCAUUGGGUUUAAAGGGUCCGUAGGCGGUUUUGUAAGUCAGUGGUGAAAGCCCAUCGCUCAACGGUGGAACGGCCAUUGAUACUGCAAGACUUGAAUUAUUGGGAAGUAACUAGAAUAUGUAGUGUAGCGGUGAAAUGCUUAGAUAUUACAUGGAAUACCAAUUGCGAAGGCAGGUUACUACCAAUACAUUGACGCUGAUGGACGAAAGCGUGGGGAGCGAACAGG
rnacentral:rRNA from 1 species